rnacentral:rRNA from 1 species
UACGUAGGGAGCAAGCGUUGUCCGGAAUCAUUGGGCGUAAAGCGCGCGUAGGCGGCCUUGUAAGUCCGUUGUGAAAGUCAAAGGCUCAACCUUUGAAAGCCGAUGGAUACUGCAAGGCUAGAGUUCGGAAGAGGCGAGUGGAAUUCCUGGUGUAGCGGUGGAAUGCGCAGAUAUCAGGAGGAACACCAAUAGCGAAGGCAGCUCGCUGGGACGAUACUGACGCUAAGGCGCGAAAGCGUGGGGAGCGAACAGGA